rnacentral:rRNA from 1 species
AUGAACGUUGGCGGCGUGCUUAACACAUGCAAGUCGAGCGAGAAAACUCCUUCGGGAGUUAGUACAGCGGCGGACGGGUGAGGAACGCGUAAGAAUCUUCCCUACAGUGAAGGAUACCCUUGAGAAAUCGAGGAUAAUACUGCAUAAUCCCUACGGGGCAAAGGUGGCUUUAAUGCUGCCGCUGAAGGAUGAGCUUGCGUGCUAUUAGCUAGUUGGUGAGGUAAAGGCUCACCAAGGCGAUGAUGGCUAGCCGGCCUGAGAGGGUGUACGGCCACAUUGGGACUGAGAUACGGCCCAGACUCCUACGGGAGGCAAGCAGUGAGGAAUAUGCGCAAUGGGCGAAAGCCUGACGCAGCGACGCCGCGUGGAGGAUGACGGUCCUUCGGAUUGUAAACUCCUGUUUAAGUGGGAAGAAAGACCAGUCUCUAACAUAGAUUGGUUAUGACGGUACCACUAGAGAAAGCACCGGCUAACUUCGUGCCAGCAGCCGCGGUAAUACGAGGGGUGCAAACGUUAUUCGGAUUUAUUGGGUUGUAAAGGGUGUGUAGACGGUUUAUUAAGUUCCGUUGUUAAAUCUUUCGGCUCAACCGGAAGCUUGCGGUGAAAACUGAUAGACUAGAGGAUGAAAGAGAGGAGUGGAAUUCUCGGAAGUAGUAGCGGUAAAAUGCGUAGAUCUCGAGAGGAACACCGAUGGCGAAAGCAGCUUCCUUGGUUCAUUCCUGACGUUUGAAACACGAAAGCGUGGGGAGCAAACAGGAUUAGAUACCCUGGUAGUCCCACGCCCGUAAACGAUGAUCACUGGAUGUCAGUAUUGCUUUGCAAUAUUGGUAUCGAAGCUAACGCGUUAAGUGAUCCACCUGGGAACUACGAUCGCAAGAUUAAAACUCAAAAGGAAUGACGGGGGUCCGCACAAGCGGUGGAAACUAGUGGUGUUUAAUUCGACACUACGCGAGGAACCUUACCUGGGCUUGACCAUGCUCUUGCCCGCCAUGGAAACAUGGUUUUUUUUAAACUUCGGUUUAAACAGGAGUGCAGGUGGCUGCAUGGCUUGUCGUCAGCUCGUGUAGUGAGAUGUUUUGGUUAAGUCCUUCUAACGAGCGCAACCCCUGAUACCAGUUGCAACUGUCGUUCGGAUAAGGCACUUGGUGGACUGCCUGGGAAACCAGGAGGAGGCGGGGAUGACGUCAAGUCAUCAUGGUCCCUUAUGUCCAGGGCUACACACGUGUUACAAUGGUCGGUACAAAGGGGUGCAAUGCCGCGAGGUGAGCAAAUCCCAUAAGCCGAUCUAAGUUCGGAUUGGGAGUCUGCAACUCGACUCCAUGAAGUUGAAAAUCGCUAGUAAUCGUAUAUCAGAAAAACGGUACGGUGAAUACGUUCUCGGACCUUUACACACCGCCGUCACACACGAAAGCUAUUUGUACCCAAAGUUAUUUAGUCAACCGUAAGGGAGGCGGAUAAUCAAGGUUAUGGGUAGUGAUUGGGGUG